AACGAACGCUGGCGGCAGGCUCAACACAUGCAAGUCGAACGCCCCGCAAGGGGAGUGGCAGACGGGUGAGUAACGCGUGGGAAUCUACCGUACCCUACGGAAUAACGCAUGGAAACGUGUGCUAAUACCGUAUACGCCCUACGGGGGAAAGAUUUAUCGGGGUAUGAUGAGCCCGCGUUGGAUUAGCUAGUUGGUGGGGUAAAGGCAUACCAAGGCGACGAUCCAUAGCUGGUCUGAGAGGAUGAUCAGCCACAUUGGGACUGAGACACGGCCCAAACUCCUACGGGAGGCAGCAGUGGGGAAUAUUGGACAAUGGGCGCAAGCCUGAUCCAGCCAUGCCGCGUGAGUGAUGAAGGCCCUAGGGUUGUAAAGCUCUUUCACCGAUGAAGAUAAUGACGGUAGUCGGAGAAGAAGCCCCGGCUAACUUCGUGCCAGCCGCCGCGGUAACAC
rnacentral:rRNA from 1 species